CAAAAAAUAAACACUUCUAAAUCUAAAAAAGCUGUUUUUUGUAACAAGAUAACUCCUCUGAAGCGAUUUACAAGACGUCUUACAGAGAUGUUAGCAUGCUAACUAGUGAACCGGAAUCUGACUGU